rnacentral:rRNA from 1 species
GUGGACCUCGAUCAGGCA